rnacentral:misc_RNA from 1 species
CGACUUUUAAUACAGCAGCCGAAACAAAACCACAACCAAAAUAAAUACAAACACAUAAAUAUAAAGACACCGAUCAUAAUAGACGAUAUUAGAUCCAUUUUCGUUUGCAUAUAAUAAACACUAAAACUAAAUGUUCGUACUUUUAAUAAUAUCUUAUCGUUUCAUAUCUAUAUAAAAAGUCGUGACGACAUAAAUAAGUUAUGUAUGUAUGAUAAUCCAUUCUUUUUCACUUUUCGAAAACACAAUGAAGUGAACGAAUGAACAGUCGGAUACUAACGGCUGCGACGAACCAAGUGAUUGUCCAAUUGACUAGUGUGUCGGAAAUUGGUAUUAAUAUUUCCUUUGGUUUUAUGAAUACAGUGCUAUGAUUUCAUUUAGGUAUUUUAGUCCAUUAUUAUUCAGUUGGAAUGUUUUUUAAUGUUAUAAUCAUUUUAAAUGUUUCAAAAAUUUAUGUAUGUAAAACACCAGCACAACCAAUGUUUCAUAUUUCUGUAUACAAGCCAUUCUUUAUUGUUGUACGUUGUAAUAUUCCGUGAUCCCCAGCGUGGUAAUCUGCAGUGAAAGCCCGAUCGACCAGCAGAUCAAACGCCGGAAAUGGAGCUGGAUUAGCCACAAUCUCCGGAGGGAUUCUAACCAUAUAUAGGAGGUAAGCCCUAGACUGGAACCCCCAAGGAAAACGCAAACGUGGCCGUCGAAAAAAAACCUGGCGGAGAAGCCAAGGUCAUCGGAAAGACCUGGAGUGAGAUCAAGCGAGACACUCAGGACUGCA